rnacentral:rRNA from 1 species
AAGUCGAACGGCAGCACGGGAGCAAUCCUGGUGGCGAGUGGCGAACGGGUGAGUAAUAUAUCGGAACGUGCCCAGUCGUGGGGGAUAACGUAGCGAAAGCUACGCUAAUACCGCAUACGAUCUAUGGAUGAAANCGGGGGAUCGCAAGACCUCGCGCGAUUAGAGCGGCCGAUAUCAGAUUAGGUAGUUGGUGAGGUAAAGGCUCACCAAGCCGACGAUCUGUAGCUGGUCUGAGAGGACGACCAGCCACACUGGGACUGAGACACGGCCCAGACUCCUACGGGAGGCAGCAGUGGGGAAUUUUGGACAAUGGGCGCAAGCCUGAUCCAGCAAUGCCGCGUGCAGGAUGAAGGCCUUCGGGUUGUAAACUGCUUUUGUACGGAACGAAACGGUGAGCUCUAAUACAGUUUGCUAAUGACGGUACCGUAAGAAUAAGCACCGGCUAACUACGUG